GUCUAUGGCUGUACCACCUUGAACACGCCCGAUCUCGUCUGCUCUCAGACGAUAAGCAGGGUCAGUCCAGGUUAGUCUUGGAUGGGAGACUGUCUGGGAAUACCAAGUGCUGUAGGCU
rnacentral:rRNA from 1 species